ACGAACGCUGGCGGCACGCUUAACACAUGCAAGUCGAACGAGAGAAGAGGAGCUUGCUUUUCUGAUCUAGUGGCGGACGGGUGAGUAACACGUGAGCAAUCUGCCUUUCAGAGGGGGAUACCGAUUGGAAACGAUCGUUAAUACCGCAUAACAUAAUUGAACCGCAUGAUUUGAUUAUCAAAGAUUUAUCGCUGAAAGAUGAGCUCGCGUCUGAUUAGCUAGUUGGUAAGGUAACGGCUUACCAAGGCGACGAUCAGUAGCCGGACUGAGAGGUUGAUCGGCCACAUUGGGACUGAGACACGGCCCAGACUCCUACGGGAGGCAGCAGUGGGGAAUAUUGCACAAUGGAGGAAACUCUGAUGCAGCGAUGCCGCGUGAGGGAAGAAGGUUUUAGGAUUGUAAACCUCUGUCUUCAGGGACGAAAAAUGACGGUACCUGAGGAGGAAGCUCCGGCUAACUACGUGCCAGCAGCCGCGGUAAUACGUAGGGAGCGAGCGUUGUCCGGAAUUACUGGGUGUAAAGGGAGCGUAGGCGGGAUCGCAAGUCAGAUGUGAAAACUAUGGGCUUAACCCAUAAACUGCAUUUGAAACUGUGGUUCUUGAGUGAAGUAGGGGUAAGCGGAAUUCCUAGUGUAGCGGUGAAAUGCGUAGAUAUUAGGAGGAACAUCAGUGGCGAAGGCGGCUUACUGGGCUUUAACUGACGCUGAGGCUCGAAAGCGUGGGGAGCAAACAGGAUUAGAUACCCUGGUAGUCCACGCCGUAAACGAUGAUUACUAGGUGUGGGGGGACUGACCCCUUCCGUGCCGCAGCAAACGCAAUAAGUAAUCCACCUGGGGAGUACGACCGCAAGGUUGAAACUCAAAGGAAUUGACGGGGGCCCGCACAAGCAGUGGAGUAUGUGGAUUAAUUCGAAGCAACGCGAAGAACCUUACCAGGUCUUGACAUCGUAUGCAUAGCUCAGAGAUGAGUGAAAUCUCUUCGGAGACAUAUAGACAGGUGGUGCAUGGUUGUCGUCAGCUCGUGUCGUGAGAUGUUGGGUUAAGUCCCGCAACGAGCGCAACCCUUACUGUUAGUUGCUACGCAAGAGCACUCUAGCAGGACUGCCGUUGACAAAACGGAGGAAGGUGGGGAUGACGUCAAAUCAUCAUGCCCCUUAUGACCUGGGCCUCACACGUACUACAAUGGCUGUCAACAGAGGGAAGCAAAGCCGCGAGGUGGAGCAAACCCCUAAAAGCAGUCUUAGUUCGGUUUGUAGGCUGCAACCCGCCUACAUGAAGUCGGAAUUGCUAGUAAUCGCAGAUCAGCAUGCUGCGGUGAAUACGUUCCCGGGCCUUGUACACACCGCCCGUCACGCCAUGGGAGUCGGUAACACCCGAAGCCUGUAGUCUAACCGCAAGGAGGACGCAGUCGAAGGUGGGAUUGAUGACUGGGGUG
rnacentral:rRNA from 1 species